GUAAUAUCACGUUGAAACAUCGGUUCCCGUACGAUCACCGAAGUUAAGCAACGUCGAUCCUGGUCAGUAAUUAAAUGGGUGACCAUUUAAGAAUUUCAGGUGCUGUA